rnacentral:rRNA from 1 species
GAUGAACGCUAGCUACAGGCUUAACACAUGCAAGUCGAGGGGUCUCAAGGGAGCUUGCUUCUGCGAGACGACCGGCGCACGGGUGAGUAACGCGUAUCCAACCUGCCCUUCAUAUUGGGAUAGCCUUCCGAAAGGAAGAUUAAUACCGAAUAACAUGAUAUAGUUGCCUGAUUUUAUCAUGAAAGCUCCGGCGAUGAAGGAUGGGGAUGCGUUCCAUUAGGUAGUAGGCGGGGUAACGGCCCACCUAGCCGACGAUGGAUAGGGGGUUCUGAGAGGAAGGUCCCCCCACACUGGAACUGAGACACGGUCCAGACUCCUACGGGAGGCAGCAGUGAGGAAUAUUGGUCAAUGGGCGCAAGCCUGAACCAGCCAAGUAGCGUGAAGGAUGACUGCCCUAUGGGUUGUAAACUUCUUUUAUACGGGAACAAACUCCGGUACGUGUACCGGUCUGCGUGUACCGUAUGAAUAAGCAUCGGCUAACUCCGUG